GUAAGUAUUCAAUUUUUCUCAACACUCAACUCAUUCCAAGAAGAGAAAAGAAAAACAGGAAUGCCAAUAAAAAAUAAGUACUCAAAGAUUAUUUUUUUAAAAAAAAGAAAAUAAUAAUAAUAAAUGACAUUCUAACCACUAGCAAUAAAAAUUGAUUUUUCUUGAAAUAUUAUAAACAAAAAUUACCAAAUAAUCCAAAACUAGUAGAGAGAAAUUAUUAUUGUUGUUAUUAUAUGUUAAUUUAGUUGUAUGGAUGUGAUGUGACCAGAAGUGCUUUGUUGUUAUCCAACUAUUAUUAGAGAAAAGCAAUAAUAAUAGAGAUGUGACAUAAAAGUUCAAUAUUUCUUUGAUUGAUAGAUAGAUUGUCUUAUUUUGAACUUUUGUACUCCCAAAUACUCAUCUCUAAUUUUAUUUUUUUAUAAAAAGAUAAAAUAUCUAUCAUUUUAAUUCCUUUUAUCAAGUCACUAAUUAAAUAUCCUUUAAUUUUUAUUUUAGACCACAAAAAAUUUAAAAUAUUUUAUUUUUACUUUAAAUUUUAUUAUAUUAUUUAAAGUCUCAUUUUUUUUGUAAUGAUUUGAUUAAUAGUUAAUUUUUAUAAAUAUUAUAUUAUUUAAAGUCUCAUUUUACUAUCUAAUUAUUAUUUUUUUUUGUAUGUUUGUAAAUUUUACAAGUGUUUUUAAAAGUGGUUAAAAUAUUAUAUUUUUGAAAAGGGUGUUCCGUUUGUUAAAAUAAUAUGUAUUUGUAUUUGCUUUAUAUAUAAAAUAACGAGAGGUUUAUAAAUGAAGGAUAAGGUAGCAAUUAGCAUUGAUCCUUUCUUUCCUUCCAUCCCUCCUUUAUUUUUCACUCUUAUUUUCUUUUCCCACUUUUUAUGCCUUUGGAACGGUAAAUAAUAUUCCAAAUAUUUUCUUGUUUUACACUUCAUUUUCACCCAUUCUUAUUUUUCAUAUUAACAAAACACCUUAUAUUGUUUUUUAACAACUUACUAUUGUCUCGUUAGGAGUUCGAACUCCCGACGAAUGCUUUAUGUUUCUCGGAGAUCUUUUGAAAAUCCUAGAUUUUUUAUUAGCACGAUUACUAUCUUUCCGACGACUUACUAUAGAUGUCAAGAGCUCUUACCUAUCUCUCGACGAGUGUUGUAUACAUCGUUGAAAGAUAUUAUUAUAUGAAAACUCUCCUUUCAUAUUUAAAUCAAGUUCAUUAAUUCAAAUAUCUCUUCAUUGGGUCGUCUUCAUCUUUUCACUACUCCAUUUCUUCUCCUAAUGACCUUUGGCAUCGUUGGGUGAUCAUAGAACUCCCAACAAUAUUAUACACUC
rnacentral:lncRNA from 1 species